rnacentral:rRNA from 1 species
CGAAGUUUCCCUCAGGAUAGCUGGAACUUAUGAGAAGUAGUUUUAUCAGGUAAAGCGAAUGAUUAGAGGCUUUGGGGAAGAAACUUCCUCGACCUAUUCUCAAACUUUAAAUAGGUAAGAUUUGAAGGAUACUUAAGUGAUCUUUCAAUCUCUUGAAUAUAAAGUUCUUAGUGGGCCAUUUUUGGUAAGCAGAACUGGCGAUGUGGGAUGAACCGAACGUUAAGUUAAAGUGCCAAAUAAUACGCUCAUGAGAUACCAUAAAAGGUGUUGGUUCAUUUUGACAGCAGGACGGUGGCCAUGGAAGUCGGAACCCGCUAAGGAGUGUGUAACAACUCACCUGCCGAAUGAACUAGCCCUGAAAAUGGAUGGCGCUUAAGCGUAUAACUUAUACUUAACCCUUACUUGAAUUAUAAUAGCGAGUAAGGAGUAGGAGGGCG